CGGUUGAUCCUGCCGGAGGCCACUGCUAUCAGAGUUCGAUUAAGCCAUGCGAGUCGAGAGGUGCAAGACCUCGGCAUACUGCUCAGUAACACGUGGACAACCUACCCUACGGAGGGGGAUAACCCCGGGAAACUGGGGAUAAUACCCCAUAGGCUAUGGAUGCUGGAAUGCUUCGUAGUUGAAAGGUCCGCCGCCGUAGGAUGGGUCUGCGGCCGAUUAGGUUGUUGUUGGGGUAACGGCCCAACAAGCCUAUAACCGGUACGGGCCGUGAGAGCGGUAGCCCGGAGAUGGGCACUGAGACAAGGGCCCAGGCCCUACGGGGCGCAGCAGUCGCGAAAACUCCGCAAUGCACGAAAGUGUGACGGGGCUACCCCGAGUGCCGUCCGCUGAGGAUGGCUUUUCCUCGGUGUAACUAGCCGGGGGAAUAAGGAGAGGGCAAGACUGGUGUCAGCCGCCGCGGUAAUACCAGCUCUCCGAGUGGUAGGGAUGAUUAUUGGGCUUAAAGCGUCCGUAGCCGGCUUAGCAAGUCUCCUGUUAAAUUCAGCGACCUAAUCGUUGAGCCGCGGGAGAUACUACUAGGCUAGGAGGCGGGAGAGGUCGACGGUACUUCCGGGGUAGGGGUGAAAUCCUAUAAUCCCGGGCGGANCACCAGUGGCGAAGGNUGUCGACUAGAACGCGCUCGACGGUGAGGGACGAAAGCUGGGGGAGCGAACCGGAUUANAUACCCGGGUAGUCCCAGCCGUAAACGAUGGGGGCUAGGUGUUGGGGUGGCUACNUGCCACUUCAGUGCCNCAGGGAANCCAUUAAGCCCGCCGCCNGGGGAGUA
rnacentral:rRNA from 1 species